GGGCCCGCACAAGCGGUGGAGCAUGUGGUUUAAUUCGAUGAUACGCGAGGAACCUUACCAGGGCUUAAAUGUAAGUUGCAUAGAUCAGAGAUGGUCUUUUCUUCGGACUACUUACAAGGUGCUGCAUGGUUGUCGUCAGCUCGUGCCGUGAGGUGUCAGGUUAAGUCCUAUAACGAGCGCAACCCCUGUCGUUAGUUGCCAGCAAGUAAUGUUGGGCACUCUAGCGAGACUGCCGGUGCAAACCGCGAGGAAGGUGGGGAUGACGUCAAAUCAUCACGGCCCUUACGUCCUGGGCUACACACGUGCUACAAUGGUCGGUACAGAGAGCAGCCACUACGCGAGUAGGAGCGAAUCUAUAAAACCGAUCUCAGUUCGGAUCGCAGUCUGCAACUCGACUGCGUG
rnacentral:rRNA from 1 species